CAGUAGCCGCGGGAACACGGAGGAUCCAAGCGUUAUCCGGAAUCAUUGGGUUUAAAGGGUCCGUAGGCGGUCUUGUAAGUCAGUGGUGAAAGCCCAUCGCUCAACGGUGGAACGGCCAUUGAUACUGCAGGACUUGAAUUAUUGGGAAGUAACUAGAAUAUGUAGUGUAGCGGUGAAAUGCUUAGAGAUUACAUGGAAUACCAAUUGCGAAGGCAGGUUACUACCAAUUGAUUGACGCUGAUGGACGAAAGCGUGGGUAGCGAACAGGAUUAGAUACCCCGGUAGUCCAUGUCUCUUAUAC
rnacentral:rRNA from 1 species